rnacentral:rRNA from 1 species
GACGAACGCUGGCGGCGUGCUUAACACAUGCAAGUCGAACGGAAAGGCCCUGCUUGCAGGGUACUCGAGUGGCGAACGGGUGAGUAACACGUGGGUGAUCUGCCCUGCACUUCGGGAUAAGCUUGGGAAACUGGGUCUAAUACCGGAUAGGAACCAUCUUUAGUGUGGUGGUUGGAAAGUUUUUUCGGUGUAGGAUGAGCUCGCGGCCUAUCAGCUUGUUGGUGGGGUAAUGGCCUACCAAGGCGGCGACGGGUAGCCGGCCUGAGAGGGUGUACGGCCACAUUGGGACUGAGAUACGGCCCAGACUCCUACGGGAGGCAGCAGUGGGGAAUAUUGCACAAUGGGCGCAAGCCUGAUGCAGCGACGCCGCGUGGGGGAUGAAGGCCCUCGGGUUGUAAACUCCUUUCGCUAGGGACGAAGCUUUUUGUGACGGUACCUAGAUAAGAAGCACCGGCUAACUACGUG